rnacentral:rRNA from 1 species
CCUACGGGAGGCAGCAGUGAGGAAUAUUGGUCAAUGGACGAGAGUCUGAACCAGCCAAGUCGCGUGAGGGAUGACUUCCCUAUGGGUUGUAAACUUCUUUUGUCUGGGAAUAAAAUGUUCCACGUGUGGGCUUUUGUAUGUACCAUAUGAAUAAGGAUCGGCUAACUCCGUGCCAGCAGCCGCGGUAAUACGGAGGAUCCGAGCGUUAUCCGGAUUUAUUGGGUUUAAAGGGAGCGUAGGUGGAUAGUUAAGUCAGUUGUGAAAGUUUGCGGCUCAACCGUAAAAGUGCAUUUGAAACUGUCAGUCUUGAGUACAGUAGAGGUGGGCGGAAUGCGUGGUGUAGCGGUGAAAUGCUUAGAUAUCACGAAGAACACCGAUUGCGAAGGCAGUUCACUGGACUGCAACUGACACUGAGGCUCGAAAGUGUGGGUAUCAAACAGGAUUAGAUACCCUUGUAGUC